rnacentral:misc_RNA from 1 species
GAUGAAGAACGUAGCGAAAUGCGAUAAGUAAUGUGAAUUGCAGAAUUCAGUGAAUCAUCGAAUCUUUGAACGCACAUUGCGCCCGCCAGUAUUCUGGCGGGCAUGCCUGUUCGAGCGUCAUUUCAACCCUCAGGCCCCCAGUGCCUGGCGUUGGGGAUCGGCGCGGCGCCCUCCGGGGCGCUGCCGGCCCCGAAAUUCAGUGGCGGUCUCGCUGUAGCCCUCCUCCGCGUAGUAGCACAACCUCGCGGCCUGGAGCUCGGCGGUGGCCAUGCCGUAAAACACCCCACUUCUGAAAGUUGACCUCGGAUCAGGUAGGAAUACCCGCUGAACUUAAGCAUAUCAAUAAGCGGAGG